AUCCAUUCUUUCUACCGGCAUCACUUCAGGGUGGAGACACAGGACAUAUUUUUUAAAAGAACAUACUCUACGUAUUCCCAAGAUGAGUGAGCAGGAGGUCACUUUCCCAACUAUGAGAUUCCACAAGUCUUCAGGGUUGAACAGCCAGGUGAGACUUGAGGGGACUCAGAGAUCUAGAAAAGCUGGCCUAAGAGUCCCUUGGCAGCUCAUUGUGAUAGCUCUUGGAAUCCUCUGUUCCUUUCGGCUGGUAAUUGUUGCAGGGUUUGUGGCAAAGAUUUUUCAGUAUAGUCAACACAAACAAGAAAUCCAUGAAACUCUCAACCACCACCAUAACUGCAGCAACAUGCAAAGGGAUUUCAACUUAAAGGAAGAAAUGUCGACAAAUAAGUCUAUAGAUUGUAGGCCAAGCAAUGAACUUCUGGAAUACAUCAACAGAGAACAGGAGAGAUGGGACAGUGAAACCAAGAGUGUUUCAGAUUCUUCACGAGACACAGGCAGAGGUGUUAAAUACAGGUUCUGCUAUGGUACUAAAUGGUAUUAUUUCAUCAUGAACAAAACUACAUGGAGUGGAUGUAAAGCGAACUGCCAGCAUUACAGCUUACCCUUUGUGAAGAUAGAAGAUGAAGAUGAACUGAAAUUCCUUCAAUGCCAUGUUAUUCCAGAGAGUUACUGGAUUGGAUUGUCAUAUGAUAAGAAAAAAAAAGGAAUGGGUGUGGAUUGACAAUGGCCAAUCUAAACUUGACAUGAAAAUAAGGAAAAUGAACUUUAAGUCUAUAGGAUGUUUAUUUUUAUCUAAAGCAAGAAUAGAAGAUACUAACUGUAAUACUCCCUACUACUGUAUUUGUGGGAAGAAACUGGAUAAUUUCCCUGAUUAACUUUCCAACCAGAGUUAAAGAACAUAGUCUGCUCUGAAGAGAAACAAAGCUGCAAGAACAUUGGUACUGUCCUCUUCUACUUAUCUUUACAAAACAGAGGUCAUUUUGUAUCCUGUUGGAGAGAGGACACAUCUACUCAGUGAAUGGGCAUGCUUUGCACUAAAGCCUUCAGAAUUGUGUUCUUUCUGAUUUCUUAAACUCCCAUAAAACCGAAUAAAGGGCCCCCCCU
rnacentral:lncRNA from 1 species